CCAGACUCCUACGGGAGGCAGCAGUGGGGAAUAUUGCGCAAUGGGGGCAACCCUGACGCAGCAACGCCGCGUGAUUGAAGAAGGCCUUCGGGUUGUAAAGAUCUUUAAACAGGGACGAAGAAAUGACGGUACCUGAAGAAUAAGCCACGGCUAACUACGUGCCAGCAGCCGCGGUAAUACGUAGGUGGCAAGCGUUGUCCGGAUUUACUGGGUGUAAAGGGCGUGCAGCCGGAGAGACAAGUCAGAUGUGAAAUCCACAGGCUCAACCUGUGAACUGCAUUUGAAACUGUUUCCCUUGAGUAUCGGAGAGGUCAUCGGAAUUCCUAGUGUAGCGGUGAAAUGCGUAGAUAUUAGGAAGAACACCAGUGGCGAAGGCGGAUGACUGGACGACAACUGACGGUGAGGCGCGAAAGCGUGGGGAGCAAACAGGAUUAGAUACCCGCGUAAA
rnacentral:rRNA from 1 species